UACGUAGGGCGCAAGCGUUGUUCGGAAUUAUUGGGCGUAAAGAGCUCGUAGGCGGUUUGUCGCGUCUGUCGUGAAAGCUUGGGGCUUAACCCCAAGUCUGCGGUGGAUACGGGCAGACUAGAGUGCGGUAGGGGAGACUGGAAUUCCUGGUGUAGCGGUGAAAUGCGCAGAUAUCAGGAGGAACACCGGUGGCGAAGGCGGAUCUCUGGGCCGAUACUGACGCUGAGGAGCGAAAGCGUGGGGAGCGAACAGG
rnacentral:rRNA from 1 species